UACGGAGGGUGCGAGCGUUGCUCGGAAUCACUGGGCGUAAAGGGCGCGUAGGCGGGAUGGCAAGUCAGUCGUGAAAUCUCUCGGCUCAACCGAGAAACGUCGGCUGAUACUGCCGUUCUUGAGGGAUGCAGAGGAGACUGGAAUUCCCGGUGUAGCGGUGAAAUGUGUAGAGAUCGGGAGGAACACCGGUGGCGAAGGCGGGUCUCUGGGCAUUUCCUGACGCUGAGGCGCGAAAGCGUGGGGAGCAAACGGG
rnacentral:rRNA from 1 species